UACGUAGGGGGCAAGCGUUGUCCGGAUUUAUUGGGCGUAAAGAGCGUGUAGGCGGCCCGACAGGUCCGUUGUGAAAACUGGAGGCUCAACCUCCAGACGUCGAUGGAAACCGUCUGGCUAGAGUCCGGAAGAGGAGAGUGGAAUUCCUGGUGUAGCGGUGAAAUGCGCAGAUAUCAGGAAGAACACCCGUGGCGAAAGCGGCUCUCUGGGACGGUACUGACGCUGAGACGCGAAAGCGUGGGGAGCGAACAGG
rnacentral:rRNA from 1 species